UAAUUUUCAAAAAUUAUUGCGAACUGUAAGUCAAUUAACUUUGAAUCAAGUGUAUACUUGUAUGUUUAACCUAGCUAUUUAAUCUUCUACUUAAGGAUCUUCCCUGAGAGUCCAAAGUUAGAGGGACCGCAUUUGGUGCUGCUAACGCUUCCAGGAGUACUCAUCAUGGAGAUGUUCUUGUAUCUGUGGUUGAACUUUUACUUCUUGGGAAUGCUUAGGGUUCGGAACUACACCGCUCUUCAGACAACCUUAACUGGCGAUGAAGAGCAGUACAUAAAGAUUUUAUUAAAAACACAAUACCAACAAUUGGGCAAAAUCAAGUUUCACGAAGUA
rnacentral:misc_RNA from 1 species